rnacentral:rRNA from 1 species
CAGUCGCCACGGGAAUACGAAGGGGGCUAGCGUUGCUCGGAAUGACUGGGCGUAAAGGGCGCGUAGGCGGCGAUCAAAGUCAGGCGUGAAAUUCCUGGGCUCAACCUGGGGGCUGCGCUUGAUACUUGGUUGCUUGAGUGGGGAAGAGGGUCGUGGAAUUCCCAGUGUAGAGGUGAAAUUCGUAGAUAUUGGGAAGAACACCCGUGGCGAAAGCGGCUCACUGGACCAUAACUGACGCUGAUGCACGAAAGCUAGGGGAGCAAACAGGAUUAGAUACCCCAGUAGUCCCUGUCUCUUAUAC